rnacentral:lncRNA from 1 species
GGGCCCUAAUCACGAGAAUACCCUGGGCAACCUCUGUUCAAUUCCUGUUCCCGAGCCCCAGCCCGGCUGUCUGAGCAGCAGAGUGGAAGUGAGUCCCGGAGUCCUGUCAUCCCUUAAUUAUUAGCAGCCCAGAGAGGAGGACCCCGCGUUCACCGCAGGGCCCCUCCCUGUAUGCCAGUCCCUUCCAGGCGCAGAGGAUGUCCAGGAGUCCCUGCUGAGCCGGUUUUGUGCUGUUUCCAUGGGAACACGCAGCAUUUGUGUGAAUGCGGUGCCCUCCCUGGCUGAGGUCCUUUCAUGCCUGGCUUUGGGUUCUUCCAACGACGCCCGAGCCCUUCUCCGGCAAAGUGAGUCUCUAGUGAGUGGACGAGUCGUCUGGUGCAGCAUCUUUCAAGACCAGCUUCCUGGUGGGUCCACAGGAGUUUUGCCUCAGGAAGCUCCGCACUCAGCCUUUGGGGGAAAUAGAACAGGACAAAAUAGAACAGAGCAGAACAGUGUUUCCCGAGAUGCAGUCUGGUGCGAGGCUUUAUAUAUCUGCAGUGAAUUGGAGCAGACUUUCCAAUGAGCAGCCUCCAGGAGAAUUCAGGGCUCUGUGUCCGUUCUCACUCAAUCAGCAAGAAACACCCUGAGUUCUAAUGAACAGAGCUCAGAUCAGACGGGACACUGGAGAGAAAAAUCCAAGAAAUAAACCCCAUCUGCGGCCAUGUCGCACGCCUCACGGUUGCCUCUGAAAUGGAAUUUGUGCUCUGUUGUCUCAAAAAGCAAAGACUAGAAUCAGGAAUGGGGCAGUCGCGGCAGACCCUGAGAGACCAGGCGGCUGAUGGGGGCAUCCUGGUGGGGCAGCCCUGAGCCGCCCACAGCAGGGGAGGCCCCCCGGGGAGGCAGCUGGUCACCACCCUGGUGUCUGUGGUCACGACGGUCUCAGACGUGGGGCCCCCGGGGGAACUCUGGGGCUCGGUAGGUAGCAGAGUUAAGCACGUCAUGGUGGCCUGAGCCGGAGUGCUAUGUGAAGGCUCCAUGUCCACGCUAGGCUGAGGCCGCCUGUCAGGCUAUGUGUGUGGGUGGGGACGCUCUGCGACCCUGUCUGCAGCUGGGAUCUGGAGUCUCCAAUGGACAGUUGCAUAGAUGCCUGGCGUGCCUUGUGGAAUCGCAGUGCCAAAUGCACCUUCUCACUGCAUCAGGCUCCCAGAAUAAAGGGCUCCCACUGCCCAGUCUCGGGGGUAGCCACUGAAAGGGUGUCUUGAAGACGUG